UACAGAGGGUGCAAACGUUGUUCGGAUUUACUGGGCGUAAAGCGCGUGUAGGCGGCUUUGCAAGUCGGAUGUGAAAGCCCACGGCUCAACCGUGGAAGUGCAUCCGAAACUGCAUGGCUUGAGUCUCGGAGAGGAAGGUGGAAUGCUUGGUGUAGAGGUGAAAUUCGUAGAUAUCAAGCAGAACACCUGCGGCGAAGGCGGCCUUCUGGACGAUGACUGACGCUGAGACGCGAAAGCGUGGGGAGCAAACAGG
rnacentral:rRNA from 1 species